rnacentral:rRNA from 1 species
AUUGAACGCUGGCGGCAUGCCUUACACAUGCAAGUCGAACGGCAGCACGGGAGCUUGCUCCUGGUGGCGAGUGGCGAACGGGUGAGUAAUACAUCGGAACGUACCCUGAAGUGGGGGAUAACGUAGCGAAAGUUACGCUAAUACCGCAUAUUCUGUGAGCAGGAAAGAGGGGGAUCGCAAGACCUCUUGCUUUAGGAGCGGCCGAUGUCGGAUUAGCUAGUUGGUGAGGUAAAGGCUCACCAAGGCGACGAUCCGUAGCGGGUCUGAGAGGAUGAUCCGCCACACUGGGACUGAGACACGGCCCAGACUCCUACGGGAGGCAGCAGUGGGGAAUUUUGGACAAUGGGCGCAAGCCUGAUCCAGCCAUGCCGCGUGAGUG